GGGUCGGUACCAAAGCGGUCAACUGGGGCAGGCUGUAAACCUGCUGGCAAUAGCCUUCGGCGGUUCGAAUCCGUCCCGGCCCACCA
rnacentral:tRNA from 4 species